UAGGGAAUCUUCGGCAAUGGACGAAAGUCUGACCGAGCAACGCCGCGUGAGUGAAGAAGGUUUUCGGAUCGUAAAACUCUGUUGGUAGAGAAGAACGUUGGUGAGAGUGGAAAGCUCAUCAAGUGACGGUAACUACCCAGAAAGGGACGGCUAACUACGUGCCAGCAGCCGCGGUAAUACGUAGGUCCCGAGCGUUGUCCGGAUUUAUUGGGCGUAAAGCGAGCGCAGGUGGUUUAUUAAGUCUGGUGUAAAAGGCAGUGGCUCAACCAUUGUAUGCAUUGGAAACUGGUAGACUUGAGUGCAGGAGAGGAGAGUGGAAUUCCAUGUGUAGCGGUGAGAUGCGUAGAUAUAUGGAGGAGCACCGGUGGCGAAAGCGGCUCUCUGGCCUGUAACUGACACUGAGGCUCGAAAGCGUGGGGAGCAAACAGG
rnacentral:rRNA from 1 species